UUUAUGGAGAGUUUGAUCCUGGCUCAGGAUGAACGCUGGCGGCGUGCCUAAUACAUGCAAGUCGAGCGAACGGACGAGAAGCUUGCUUUUCUGAUGUUAGCGGCGGACGGGUGAGUAACACGUGGAUAACCUACCUAUAAGACUGGGAUAACUUCGGGAAACCGGAGCUAAUACCGGAUAAUAUUUUGAACCGCAUGGUUCAAAAGUGAAAGACGGUCUUGCUGUCACUUAUAGAUGGAUCCGCGCUGCAUUAGCUAGUUGGUAAGGUAACGGCUUACCAAGGCAACGAUGCAUAGCCGACCUGAGAGGGUGAUCGGCCACACUGGAACUGAGACACGGUCCAGACUCCUACGGGAGGCAGCAGUAGGGAAUCUUCCGCAAUGGGCGAAAGCCUGACGGAGCAACGCCGCGUGAGUGAUGAAGGUCUUCGGAUCGUAAAACUCUGUUAUUAGGGAAGAACAUAUGUGUAAGUAACUGUGCACAUCUUGACGGUACCUAAUCAGAAAGCCACGGCUAACUACGUGCCAGCAGCCGCGGUAAUACGUAGGUGGCAAGCGUUAUCCGGAAUUAUUGGGCGUAAAGCGCGCGUAGGCGGUUUUUUAAGUCUGAUGUGAAAGCCCACGGCUCAACCGUGGAGGGUCAUUGGAAACUGGAAAACUUGAGUGCAGAAGAGGAAAGUGGAAUUCCAUGUGUAGCGGUGAAAUGCGCAGAGAUAUGGAGGAACACCAGUGGCGAAGGCGACUUUCUGGUCUGUAACUGACGCUGAUGUGCGAAAGCGUGGGGAUCAAACAGGAUUAGAUACCCUGGUAGUCCACGCCGUAAACGAUGAGUGCUAAGUGUUAGGGGGUUUCCGCCCCUUAGUGCUGCAGCUAACGCAUUAAGCACUCCGCCUGGGGAGUACGACCGCAAGGUUGAAACUCAAAGGAAUUGACGGGGACCCGCACAAGCGGUGGAGCAUGUGGUUUAAUUCGAAGCAACGCGAAGAACCUUACCAAAUCUUGACAUCCUUUGACAACUCUAGAGAUAGAGCCUUCCCCUUCGGGGGACAAAGUGACAGGUGGUGCAUGGUUGUCGUCAGCUCGUGUCGUGAGAUGUUGGGUUAAGUCCCGCAACGAGCGCAACCCUUAAGCUUAGUUGCCAUCAUUAAGUUGGGCACUCUAAGUUGACUGCCGGUGACAAACCGGAGGAAGGUGGGGAUGACGUCAAAUCAUCAUGCCCCUUAUGAUUUGGGCUACACACGUGCUACAAUGGACAAUACAAAGGGCAGCGAAACCGCGAGGUCAAGCAAAUCCCAUAAAGUUGUUCUCAGUUCGGAUUGUAGUCUGCAACUCGACUACAUGAAGCUGGAAUCGCUAGUAAUCGUAGAUCAGCAUGCUACGGUGAAUACGUUCCCGGGUCUUGUACACACCGCCCGUCACACCACGAGAGUUUGUAACACCCGAAGCCGGUGGAGUAACCUUUUAGGAGCUAGCCGUCGAAGGUGGGACAAAUGAUUGGGGUGAAGUCGUAACAAGGUAGCCGUAUCGGAAGGUGCGGCUGGAUCACCUCCUUU
rnacentral:rRNA from 1 species